rnacentral:rRNA from 1 species
UGCAGUCGACGGAAGGNCCUUCGGGGUACUCGAGUGGCGAACGGGUGAGUAACACGUGGGUGAUCUGCCCUGCACUUUGGGAUAAGCCUGGGAAACUGGGUCUAAUACCGAAUAGGACCACGCGCUUCAUGGUGUGUGGUGGAAAGCUUUUGCGGUGUGGGAUGGGCCCGCGGCCUAUCAGCUUGUUGGUGGGGUAAUGGCCUACCAAGGCGACGACGGGUAGCCGGCCUGAGAGGGUGACCGGCCACACUGGGACUGAGAUACGGCCCAGACUCCUACGGGAGGCAGCAGUGGGGAAUAUUGCACAAUGGGCGCAAGCCUGAUGCAGCGACGCCGCGUGAGGGAUGACGGCCUUCGGGUUGUAAACCUCUUUCAAUAGGGACGAAGCGCAAGUGACGGUACCUAUAGAAGAAGCACCGGCCAACUACGUGCCAGCAGCCGCGGUAAUACGUAGGGUGCGAGCGUUGUCCGGAAUUACUGGGCGUAAAGAGCUCGUAGGUGGUUUGUCGCGUUGUUCGUGAAAACUCACAGCUUAACUGUGGGCGUGCGGGCGAUACGGGCAGACUAGAGUACUGCAGGGGAGACUGGAAUUCCUGGUGUAGCGGUGGAAUGCGCAGAUAUCAGGAGGAACACCGGUGGCGAAGGCGGGUCUCUGGGCAGUAACUGACGCUGANGAGCGAAAGCGUGGGGAGCGAACAGGAUUAGAUACCCUGGUAGUCCACGCCGUAAACGGUGGGUACUAGGUGUGGGUUCCUUCCUUGGGAUCCGUGCCGUANCUAACGCAUUAAGUACCCCGCCUGGGGAGUACGGCCGCAAGGCUAAAACUCAAAGGAAUUGACGGGGGCCCGCACAAGCGGCGGANCAUGUGGAUUAAUUCGAUGCAACGCGAAGAACCUUACCUGGGUUUGACAUGCACAGGACGCCGGCAGANAUGUCGGUUCCCUUGUGGCCUGUGUGCAGGUGGNGCAUGGCUGUCGUCAGCUCGUGUCG